rnacentral:lncRNA from 1 species
GACGAAAGGAACGUCAUCCUUUGGAAAGCGUCGCAAUAAGACGCACACGCUGUGCCGCCGCUGUGGCUCCAAGGCCUACCACCUUCAGAAGUCGACCUGUGGCAAAUGUGGCUACCCUGCCAAGCGCAAGAGAAAGUAUAACUGGAGUGCCAAGGCUAAGAGGCGAAACACUACCGGGACUGGUCGGAUGAGGCACCUAAAGAUCGUCUACCGAAGAUUCAGGUACAGUUUUGUUUCCCAGUCAUUGGUCCUUGGUAGUUCUGUUUACUUGUCACUUCCCACUCUUGGUGAAUAAGUAAUCCUCCUGGGGUUGGUUUUUGGCUUGAAACACCCACAUUCGUCCAGACUGUAUGAAUGGUAUCUGAGAGGCAGAUUAUUUGGUUCAGCCCCCACUUCUUCAGAUUUUGCUCAAAUGUUCUGGAUACUAGUCAUCAGUCCUAACAACAUGGGAGACUGGGCCUUGGUGUUCCUUAAAAAUCCAGAAAUCUCAGCCCCCUCUCAGAUUGUGCUGUCGUCUGUAUUUUGACAGUUGCUAUAGUAUUUGUCUUUGUAUUUACACUUUGUUUUGUGGGCUUGCUCUGUGGUGAUUUGCUAGUGUUUAGUAGGCUAGUGGUGUGUUUUAAGUCCAAUUAACCUUCAUGUGCUUCAUAUCACUCAUCUUCUGUAGAAAUGAGUGUUUCUUACCAUUUAGACUUCUAAGUUGAGCAGUUUCAAAGGUUCUGUUAAACGUGGUCGGUGUUUUUCUGUUACUAAAAAAGCAUGCCAGGGCCUGUCCUUUAUAGCAUAAAGAAUAGCUUCAUAAAUAGUUCUUGUGGAAAUUAGAAAGUUAAGCUCAAAAUUGUUGAGACAGUUAACUGUAAUAUAAUGUGGGUGUUUUGAUUGGGGUAAAAUACUAGCUUAUCGAUGAUGUCCUAAAAGUAAAUGUCUGAACAUAUGAAUGCUAUACUGAUUUCAGCAUUUAACUGAGAUAAGCUCAUGAAGGUCUUCUGAUCAAUUUGGAAGUAAUGUUUGGUGUUGCUGCAUUAACUUCUCUUGUCUUUAACAUGGCACAGACAUGGAUUCCGUGAAGGAACAACACCUAAACCCAAGAGGGCAGCUGUUGCAGCAUCCAGUUCAUCUUGAGGAUUUCAAUCGGUCAUAAAAUAAAUGUUCUGGUUUC